rnacentral:rRNA from 1 species
AGACUUCCAGAGACUGCNUNGGUUAGCUUCGGGAACUCUGAGACAGGNGCUGCAUGNCUGUCGUCAGCUCGUGUUGUGAAAUGUUGGGUUAAGUNCCCGGCAAAGGAAGCGGCAACCCUUUAUCCCUUUGUUGCCAGCGGUUCGGCCGGGAACUCAAAGGAGACUGCCAGUGAUAAACUGGAGGAAGGUGGGGAUGACGUCAAGUCAUCAUGGCCCUUACGAGUAGGGCUACACACGUGCUACAAUGGCGCAUACAAAGAGAAGCGACCUCGCGAGAGCAAGCGGACCUCAUAAAGUGCGUCGUAGUCCGGAUUGGAGUCUGCAACUCGACUCCAUGAAGUCGGAAUCGCUAGUAAUCGUAGAUCAGAAUGCUACGGUGAAUACGUUCCCGGGU